rnacentral:rRNA from 1 species
UACGUAGGUGGCAAGCGUUGUCCGGAUUUACUGGGCGUAAAGGGCGUGCAGGCGGUUUGUUAAGUCUAGGGUGAAAGCUCCCGGCUCAACUGGGAGAGGUCCUUGGAUACUGGCGAACUUGAGGGAUGCAGAGGAAAGUGGAAUUCCCGGUGUAGUGGUGAUAUGCGUAGAUAUCGGGAGGAACACCAGUGGCGAAGGCGAGUCCCUGGAAAACUCCUGACACUGAGGCACGAAAGCUAGGGGAGCAAACAGG